GUGGUUGGAGUGGUAGUAGGUGAGGACUAGUUGAGGGAAGUUAGUCACAGGGGACAUUUCCUGUAAGGAUGUAUCUUGUCCCUAGCCUCUUUGUUCCUCUUUUUUUCUUUCAGGCUAUCAUGUGGUAAACAGCUUUGCUCUGCCACCAUGAUGUUUCUAUUUUGGUGUUAGUGGACUUUGGACUGAAAUUUAUGAAAAUGUUUUCUGGUGGCCAUGUUCUGAGCCUUCUUCCUUCAGCACACUCUUCCACUGUGAUAUUCUGUUUCACCUUGAGUCCCCAGCAAUUGAGCCAGCUUCUAUAGAUUGACGUCUCUGAAACUAUGAGCCCCCAAUAAACUUUUCCUCCUCUAAUUGUUCUUAUCAGGAGUUUUGAUCACAAUAGCAAAGAAGCUGACUAAAACAAAAAGUUUGUUAAUAAAGUUGUUCUUUUUUGGGUGUACUUAGAAAUCAUAUUGUCAAUAAAUCUUUGUCUAUAAA